GAUGAACGCUGGCGGCGUGCCUAAUACAUGCAAGUCGAACGAAGCUUCUUUAUCACCGAGUGCUUGCACUCACCGAUAAAGAGUUGAGUGGCGAACGGGUGAGUAACACGUGGGCAACCUGCCCAAAAGAGGGGGAUAACACUUGGAAACAGGUGCUAAUACCGCAUAACCAUAGUUACCGCAUGGUAACUAUGUAAAAGGUGGCUAUACUACCGCUUUUGGAUGGGCCCGCGGCGCAUUAGCUAGUUGGUAGGGUAAAGGCUUACCAAGGCAAUGAUGCGUAGCCGAAUUGAGAGGUUGAUCGGCCACAUUGGGACUGAGACACGGCCCAAACUCCUACGGGAGGCAGCAGUAGGGAAUCUUCCACAAUGGGCGAAAGCCUGAUGGAGCAACGCCGCGUGGGUGAAGAAGGUCUUCGGAUCGUAAAACCCUGUUGUUAGAGAAGAAAGUGCGUGAGAGUAACUGUUUACGUUUCGACGGUAUCUAACCAGAAAGCCACGGCUAACUACGUG
rnacentral:rRNA from 1 species